GGGAAGGUGGGUCUUUUUCCUUUCAGCAGGUGAAUAAUGAAACCGAGCUGAGAUGGACACAAGCUUUAUUCAGUGAUCAAAGGAUGGAGAAGCAGAACAAAGUUCACAGAUCAAUUUCUUGCCCACUUGGCAAGAGCGAUUUAAUUUUAAGGGGUAAAGGCAAAGGGAGGAAGAGUGAGGCUAUUGAUGGCGGGGCAUCUGCUUGAAUCUAAUGUGGGGAGGGGCAGGGCUUUUUCUGAGGGAGUGGGGUGCCACCUCUUUUUAUCCUUUAUUGGUCUUUGAUGUCUGGGCCCAGCCGCAGGUAGAUGUGUCAUUUAAUAUGCUAAUAUUGCAGGAAGGGGGACCCCUUCCAGGGCCUGGUAACACUUGGAAAUGAAUUGGAGGAGACACAGGUGUGGACAAAGCAAGAGACUUUAUCGGGAAGGGGCGCCUGGGCGGAGAGCUGCAGGGUGAAGGAACCCAGGAAAAAGACUGCCAUGCCGCUCGCGGUCUCCUGUUCCAUGGUCAUGGGGUUAGUUUCGGGUUGUCUCUGGCCAGUCAUUUCGCUCGGCAGGUACUUGGUCUGCGCAGGUGGAUCCCAGCGCAGAGGAUUCUGGGAGGCUGGGCGUCUCCUCCCUCCUACCGGCCCCGCCCACAUCCUCCCUGUCCGCCUUCGGGGCAGCGCCACGUGUCUCGCGGGGCCUCCUGUUGUGAGACAACUCGUGCAGGCUGCUGUCUUGGGCUUGUGAUCGUGCCUGGCCAAGGAAGACCUUCCUGGGCUUCAGUGACCCUUCUCACACUCCAGAGCACCUUCGGCAAAGCUCCCUCUGAGCACGUACAACAGUCUGUUGGCAUUGAGUCUCAGUCUCCUUAGUGCCUGGCACAGAACAGGUUCAGAUGACCCAGGAACACCUUAGAGCCAUCCCAGCGACGUCCCCAGCCCCUUGUUUGAUGGAUUGCUUCUGCAGUCAGUGGCACCAGAUGGCUUGUCCAGUCCACAGUGGAGACAGAAGAACUGUGAUCACUCGUGACGGCGACUCUUGCUUCUUAGGACCUUUUCGGGUUCAGGAAGCAGAAAUCACUUGAACUAAUGUAAGUAAAGAGGAAAAAGGCUUCUGAGGACACUGGAGUGUCACAUAAAGCAGCCCAGUCAUGGAAGGUCAGGGGUCAGAAGCCUUGGACCCCACGGAGCCUGGAAGUGAAGCCCAGCGCUGGCUCUUCCUCUGCUUCUCUCUCUGCUGCAGGCUGGUCUCUGCUUCUCAGCCCCAUGAACAGGAGGCCCGUUGGUCAAGAGUUUAGAGUCUUUCUCCUGUCAAACUAAGGCUGGGGUCCUUGCCGUCUUCUGCCCUGGGAGGCCCAGUUCUGCUCAUGGCACCCUCUCUUUUAAUUCCCAUUGACCAAAGCACUCAAAAAGUUCAAAAGUCUUUCCAACAAAAUUGAAACAAAUAAUAAUGUUUUGUCCACUGGUAUUUGUGAUCGUGAGGCCUGGGGCUGGGGCCUCUCUUGCUUAGUAAAGGGAUGUUUGCUGUAAGCCUUAAAUUCCCAAAACCUCUUGAGUCAAUUCAAGUCAACCUAUUAGUACCAAAAACAAAAUUGGAAAGCUCAAUGUUGCCUUUUUUACAUAAUGUCUUUUAGGAAAUUCUGACUGAUGCACGAAAACAUUAAAUAGAAGUAGGGGAAACAAGCAUUAUGUUACAUAUAAAUUUUGUUUUUCUUUUUCUUUUUGUCUUUUUAGG